CAGCAGCCGCGGGAAUACGUAGGUGGCAAGCGUUGUCCGGAAUUAUUGGGCGUAAAGGGCUCGCAGGCGGUUUCUUAAGUCUGAUGUGAAAGCCCCCGGCUCAACCGGGGAGGGUCAUUGGAAACUGGGAAACUUGGGUGCAGAAGAGGAGAGUGGAAUUCCACGUGUAGCGGUGAAAUGCGUAGAGAUGUGGAGGAACACCAGUGGCGAAGGCGACUCUCCGGUCUGUAACUGACGCUGAGGAGCGAAAGCGUGGGGAGCGAACAGGAUUAGAUACCCCUGUAGUCCCUGUCUCUUAUAC
rnacentral:rRNA from 1 species